GGAUUUAAUUGAUUUAGAGUAGGAGGUCAGAUGAACCAGCUUAUCAUGAUCCUCCCACUGGCUUCACUAAGUCAGCUUAAGGGAGACCAUUAAAAGGGCUAGUCUAGGAGCACCUAAAUUAGUCACACUGAUUUACCUAGCUGACAUGGGUCAGCUCGAAUAGUCAAGUGAUCCAAUCAAAAUAUAAUUUCACCAAGAGGCCAGGUAAGUUCGAUCGAUGGGAGGGUCUGCCAAAGCUUGCCUUAGAUACUAUCAGAAAUGAUUAGGUAAAUGGGCUGUCAAUUAAAAACUAUCGAUCUGAUUUACCUUAGACAUCAACUGGUUUAAUUAGUUUCGAUUAAAUCAACCUAACAGUUCAUGCU
rnacentral:lncRNA from 1 species